GUGGGGGUGGGGCUAAGACUCUAAAGAGCCCGUGUCGCUCACCUUGGUCUGUGUGAAUAUUAAACAAAGGACGCAGAUGGAUUCAUGACAAAAUUGUGUUUUGGUGAUGGUGAUGUGUUUGUACAUCUUACUUUACUGAACAUUCUUGCUGCUUACAAUUAUCUCUAUCUAUAAUGAACUUGGCCCAGUAGUUUCAGAGGAGACGAUUUU
rnacentral:lncRNA from 1 species